CUGGCCUCAAGUGAUCCUCCCGCCUUGGUCUUCCCAAAAUGCUGGGAUUACAGGCCUGAGCCACCAUAUCCAGUGGGGCUUGUGGCACCUUGACCGUCCCUCCUCCUUUCCUCCCCCUCUAGGUUGCCAUCAAGAUCAUCGACAAAACCCAGCUGAAUCCCAGCAGCCUGCAGAAGCUGUUCCGAGAAGUCCGCAUCAUGAAGGGCCUAAACCACCCCAACAUCGUGAAGCUCUUUGAGGUGAUUGAGACUGAGAAGACGCUGUACCUGGUGAUGGAGUACGCAAGUGCUGGAGAAGUGUUUGACUACCUCGUGUCGCAUGGCCGCAUGAAGGAGAAGGAAGCUCGAGCCAAGUUCCGACAGAUUGUUUCAGCUGUGCACUAUUGUCACCAGAAAAAUAUUGUACACAGGGACCUGAAGGCUGAGAACCUCUUGCUGGAUGCCGAGGCCAACAUCAAGAUUGCUGACUUUGGCUUCAGCAACGAGUUCACGCUGGGAUCGAAGCUGGACACGUUCUGCGGGAGCCCCCCAUAUGCCGCCCCGGAGCUGUUUCAGGGCAAGAAGUACGACGGGCCGGAGGUGGACAUCUGGAGCCUGGGAGUCAUCCUGUACACCCUCGUCAGCGG
rnacentral:sRNA from 1 species